GCAUCGGUGGUUCAGUGGUAGAAUUGGUCGUUGCCAUCGACUAGACCCGGGUUCGAUUCCCGGCUGAUGCA